rnacentral:rRNA from 1 species
CCUACGUGUGUCAGCAGUGGGGAAUAUUGGGCAAUGUGCGCAAGCCUGACCCCGCAACGCCGCGUGAAGGAAGAAGGCUUUCGGGUUGUAAACUUCUUUUUACAGGGAAGAGUAGAAGACGGUACCUGUCGAAUAAGCCACGGCUAACUACGUGCCAGCAGCCGCGGUAAUACGUAGGUGGCAAGCUUUGUCCGGAUUUACUGGGGGUAAAGGGCGUGUAGCCGGGUUGACAAGUCAGAUGUGAAAUCCUGCGGCUUAACCGCAGAACUGCAUUUGAAACUGUUGAUCUUGAGUACUGGAGAGGCAGACGGAAUUCCUAGGGUAGCGGUGAAAUGCGUAGAUAUACGGAGGAACACCAGUGGCGAAGGCGGAUUGCUGGACAGUAACUGACGCUGAGGCGCGAAAGCGUGGGGAGCAAACAGGAUUAGAUACCCCAGUAGUC